rnacentral:rRNA from 1 species
UUAAGUUAUUAAGGGCGCACGGUGGAUGCCUUGGCACUAGAAGCCGAUGAAGGACGUUACUAACGACGAUAUGCUUUGGGGAGCUGUAAGUAAGCUUUGAUCCAGAGAUUUCCGAAUGGGGAAACCCAGCAUGAGUUAUGUCAUGUUAUCGAUAUGUGAAUACAUAGCAUAUCAGAAGGCACACCCGGAGAACUGAAACAUCUUAGUACCCGGAGGAAGAGAAAGAAAAUUCGAUUCCCUUAGUAGCGGCGAGCGAAACGGGAAGAGCCCAAACCAACAAGCUUGCUUGUUGGGGUUGUAGGACACUCUAUACGGAGUUACAAAGGACGACAUUAGACGAAUCAUCUGGAAAGAUGAAUCAAAGAAGGUAAUAAUCCUGUAGUCGAAAAUGUUGUCUCUCUUGAGUGGAUCCUGAGUACGACGGAGCACGUGAAAUUCCGUCGGAAUCUGGGAGGACCAUCUCCUAAGGCUAAAUACUCUCUAGUGACCGAUAGUGAACCAGUACCGUGAGGGAAAGGUGAAAAGCACCCCGGAAGGGGAGUGAAAUAGAACCUGAAACCGUGUGCUUACAAGUAGUCAGAGCCCGUUAAUGGGUGAUGGCGUGCCUUUUGUAGAAUGAACCGGCGAGUUACGAUUUGAUGCAAGGUUAAGCAGUAAAUGUGGAGCCGUAGCGAAAGCGAGUCUGAAUAGGGCGUUUAGUAUUUGGUCGUAGACCCGAAACCAGGUGAUCUACCCUUGGUCAGGUUGAAGUUCAGGUAACACUGAAUGGAGGACCGAACCGACUUACGUUGAAAAGUGAGCGGAUGAACUGAGGGUAGCGGAGAAAUUCCAAUCGAACCUGGAGAUAGCUGGUUCUCUCCGAAAUAGCUUUAGGGCUAGCCUCAAGUGAUGAUUAUUGGAGGUAGAGCACUGUUUGGACGAGGGGCCCCUCUCGGGUUACCGAAUUCAGACAAACUCCGAAUGCCAAUUAAUUUAACUUGGGAGUCAGAACAUGGGUGAUAAGGUCCGUGUUCGAAAGGGAAACAGCCCAGACCACCAGCUAAGGUCCCAAAAUAUAUGUUAAGUGGAAAAGGAUGUGGCGUUGCCCAGACAACUAGGAUGUUGGCUUAGAAGCAGCCAUCAUUUAAAGAGUGCGUAAUAGCUCACUAGUCGAGUGACACUGCGCCGAAAAUGUACCGGGGCUAAACAUAUUACCGAAGCUGUGGAUUGUCCUUUGGACAAUGGUAGGAGAGCGUUCUAAGGGCGUUGAAGCAUGAUCGUAAGGACAUGUGGAGCGCUUAGAAGUGAGAAUGCCGGUGUGAGUAGCGAAAGACGGGUGAGAAUCCCGUCCACCGAUUGACUAAGGUUUCCAGAGGAAGGCUCGUCCGCUCUGGGUUAGUCGGGUCCUAAGCUGAGGCCGACAGGCGUAGGCGAUGGAUAACAGGUUGAUAUUCCUGUACCACCUAUAAUCGUUUUAAUCGAUGGGGGGACGCAGUAGGAUAGGCGAAGCGUGCGAUUGGAUUGCACGUCUAAGCAGUAAGGCUGAGUAUUAGGCAAAUCCGGUACUCGUUAAGGCUGAGCUGUGAUGGGGAGAAGACAUUGUGUCUUCGAGUCGUUGAUUUCACACUGCCGAGAAAAGCCUCUAGAUAGAAAAUAGGUGCCCGUACCGCAAACCGACACAGGUAGUCAAGAUGAGAAUUCUAAGGUGAGCGAGCGAACUCUCGUUAAGGAACUCGGCAAAAUGACCCCGUAACUUCGGGAGAAGGGGUGCUCUUUAGGGUUAACGCCCAGAAGAGCCGCAGUGAAUAGGCCCAAGCGACUGUUUAUCAAAAACACAGGUCUCUGCUAAACCGUAAGGUGAUGUAUAGGGGCUGACGCCUGCCCGGUGCUGGAAGGUUAAGAGGAGUGGUUAGCUUCUGCGAAGCUACGAAUCGAAGCCCCAGUAAACGGCGGCCGUAACUAUAACGGUCCUAAGGUAGCGAAAUUCCUUGUCGGGUAAGUUCCGACCCGCACGAAAGGCGUAACGAUUUGGGCACUGUCUCAACGAGAGACUCGGUGAAAUCAUAGUACCUGUGAAGAUGCAGGUUACCCGCGACAGGACGGAAAGACCCCGUGGAGCUUUACUGUAGCCUGAUAUUGAAAUUCGGCACAGCUUGUACAGGAUAGGUAGGAGCCUUUGAAACGUGAG